UAAACACCCCCAGCUCCCUCAGAAAUCUUGCAGAUGUGCCAAAAAGUAUAAUCCUUCAAAAGAAGCUUGUUGCAGUCACAAGAAAGUCUUGUAAAUGAGGUGCCACCUGGGAUCACAGAAGGGCCUUCUCAGCCAGUUUUGAAGAAGAUUGUUUGAUGCUGGGGAAAUAAGCUUAUUGAAUAUCCUGAAAACUGACCCUUUACUUGAAAGGUCCAAGUUAACGCUGUACUAUUUUUUGUUUAAGGGCAGUUAAGAAAAUGGGAGGGGUUAUGUACACAGAAUUAAAAUCCUAUUGUAAUAAAAACUCCAAACCAAACAUGACAACAAAAACUUUUCUUUCCCCUAAA